CUGUCCUUGAUUAAUGUCCUUGAGUGCCACCUUUGUUGUGUGUCUCACUAAAACCACAUACCGUCUGACAGAAUCAAGGACCUGUUAAAGAAAAAAAUAUUUUGGAUGAGGACAAGCUAUGUGCGCUGAGGCAGAGUGGUUGGAUGUUGGAGAGCUAUGUGGAUGAAUUCUUUGCACUUUCGAACGAGGUGAGAAUUUUCCCUGAAGUUUCCUUGUCCAGCACCCUCUGGAACAAAUUGUACCUCCCCAGCUUACCUUCCAUCAGGUACCUCCACAUACUGUACCUCGCCAACUGUUCCGACCACCUGCCCAAACCGAGGCAUCCACAUAUUCCCCUGGGCUCCAUGACAGACCCGGGGACAUCCUAUCAGAAGACAUUAACACAGGAGGUCUUACUAAAGUUCCCUGGCAAGACCUGUGGGACAAAGGGGGCAAACAAAGGAGAUAGUGUGUAGAAAAGAAAAUACACCCUCUUGUUUGUGAUGGUAUCGAAGAAGAGGUACAAUUUCAAAAGUAGUUUUUUCCUGACUGUAAAUUGAGCCCUAAUGUCAGGUCAUCCUCUUUGAUAUGAUUUGUUCAGUUGCAAUAGUAGAAAUUGUUAACAGGGGCAACAAUUUGCCACUUGUGCAAACCCCACAUUAAA